rnacentral:tRNA from 1 species
GCGGCCGUAGCUCAGUGGUAGAGCUCCACCUUGCCAAGGUGGAUGUCGAGGGUUCAAGUCCCUUCGGCCGCUCCA